rnacentral:rRNA from 1 species
AUGAACGCUGGCGGCGUGCCUAAUACCUGCAAGUCGAGCGAACAGACGAGGAGCUUGCUCCUCUGACGUUAGCGGCGGACGGGUGAGUAACACGUGGAUAACCUACCUAUAAGACUGGGAUAACUUCGGGAGACCGGAGCUAAUACCGGAUAAUAUAUUGAACCGCAUGGUUCAAUAGUGAAAGACGGUUUUGCUGUCACUUAUAGAUGGAUCCGCGCCGCAUUAGCUAGUUGGUAAGGUAACGGCUUACCAAGGCGACGAUGCGUAGCCGACCUGAGAGGGUGAUCGGCCACACUGGAACUGAGACACGGUCCAGACUCCUACGGGAGGCAGCAGUAGGGAAUCUUCCGCAAUGGGCGAAAGCCUGACGGAGCAACGCCGCGUGAGUGAUGAAGGUCUUCGGAUCGUAAAACUCUGUUAUUAGGGAAGAACAAAUGUGUAAGUAACUAUGCACGUCUUGACGGUACCUAAUCAGAAAGCCACGGCUAACUACGUG